GAAACAUGCGGCAAACCGGGGGAAAGCCGAUUUCUUCCCAAAAGUUGCAGCAAACCGGUCUAAAUUAAACCCUCAAAAGCAAGGAGCUGAAAACCCCUGAAUUUUGGCAAGCAUACAAAUUGCAACAAGAACCAGAGUGUUUUGUACAGAAAAUGUUUCGAAGACGAUUCCUCUCGUUUCCUUUGGUAAUUGGAGCAGCCGUGAUUGGAGUUGUUUCAGGCAAGGCAAUAUUUGGACCCCCACUUGAUGAGUACUGGAAAAAGAAGCAGCAGGAAGAUGCAGCGGCAAAGGAGACUGAUGCAAACUCAAGUUAACCAAUGUAUACUGAAACUUCUCAUGUUUGGUCGUUUCAUAGAGUAAAGCGAUGGGAUGGGAAUUGUUAAUUCAUUUGUUUGCACUUAAACAGUAGGAUCAUGGCAAACAGCUAGUUUUUUUGAACAUGUUAUGCGUGGGAUCCCGUACGUUUGUUGGGAUGGAAAACGGGAUACUAACAUGACCAGAAGCCGAUGUUGGACUAUCGAUCACAAUCGUGUGUGUGGAUAUGUCUCAGAGAAGGGAUGGAAUGAUUAAGCGUUGGAAUGAAUUUCCUCUGACAAUGCCAUCAGUCUUAUAUAGACUUGUACUGAAGAGGCAUGAAGAUGUCUAUAUAAAACUGAUGCCAUUGUCAGAGAAAAUUCAUUCUAACGCUUAACCAUUCCAUCCCUUCUUUAAGACAUUCACACACACCAUUAUGAUCGAUAAUUCAACAUCGGUUUCUGAUCCUGUUUGUAUCCGUUUUUCAACGAGAUUUUUCAGUGUCAGUACACUAAGUGCCAUAAUACAAGUGAUUGGAUACUUGAGAAAAAAAAGAAUUCAACCACUUAUGUCACAA